GAUGAACGCUGGCGGCGUGCUUAACACAUGCAAGUCGAACGGUGAAGCAGGAGCUUGCUCCUGUGGAUCAGUGGCGAACGGGUGAGUAACACGUGAGCAAUCUGCCCUGGACUCUGGGAUAAGCGUUGGAAACGACGUCUAGUACCGGAUACGAGGCGUGGGGGCAUCCCCAACGCCUGGAAAGAACUUCGGUCCAGGAUGAGCUCGCGGCCUAUCAGGUAGUUGGUGAGGUAACGGCUCACCAAGCCUACGAUGGAUAGCCGGCCUGAGAGGGUGACCGGCCACACUGGGACUGAGACACGGCCCAGACUCCUACGGGAGGCAGCAGUAGGGAAUAUUGCACAAUGGGCGCAAGCCUGAUGCAGCAACGCCGCGUGAGGGACGACGGCCUUCGGGUUGUAAACCUCUUUUAGCAGGGAAGAAGCGAAAGUGACGGUACCUGCAGAAAAAGCACCGGCUAACUACGUGCCAGCCGCCGCAGUAACAC
rnacentral:rRNA from 1 species